rnacentral:lncRNA from 1 species
GUGUCAGGGGCAGCUGCUGGAAGGAGGCGCAAGCACCACGGAGAGUCUGGGAUGCCCAGCCAAGGAGCCCUGGAAGGGUUGCCCUGGGGACUGACACUGUGGGCUCUGUGUUUUAGCCAAGUCACCCAGGCAGCUGAACAGAAGAUGGACUGGAGGGAGAAGCCUGGAUGUAGGAUCGCUCAGCAACAAAGGAGCCAGAAAAGGCAAGGUGUACACACCGUGUGCAGCAUGGGCGAGCUGCAGGCAUGCAGGUAAGAGUGUGUGCAUGCAGGUGUGUGCACACGAGUUUGCAUGUGCUGAUGCAGAUGGCUAUGAUGCGUGGUGGUGAUAUAUACAUGUGGAUGCUUAUGGAUCUGUGCCAACCAUUAUUAAGCACAUAUGUAUACCCGUGUGUGUAUAUGCAUGCAUGUGUUUGUGUGAGUUGCAAUGUGUAUACAACUUUACACAAUAAGUGAAUUGAGUACAUGUACCUGUUUAUCCACGGAAGUGUAUGAUGACUGGACAUAUGUAAAUAUGUGUAUUUGCAUGUGUUUAUACUUUGUGCAUAGAUGCAUGUUUGUGUAUUUAUGCUGAUCCAUUUAAGCGUAUGGGAUGUGUGUGGAUGUUUGUGUAACAUCUGUACAUACUCCAUAGGUGCAUCUUAAUACAGGAAUAUGGGUGCGAUGUGUAUGUGUGUGUGUGUGCCUGUGUGAACAGGUGCGGCUGGAGGUCUAUGAGUGUGUGGAUAGGUAUAUUUGCCUGUGCGCAUGUGCGAUUCACGUGGUGUGAGUGCACAUGGUCGCAGGCAAAUGUCUGUGUGGGCACACACAUGCCCUGUUGCCCUUUUCUGUCUUUUCCUGUUGGGAAAUUACAGAACUUCUGAGUCCUAACCAUGGCUGGUGGCUCUUCCAGGAACAUGGUUUCCUGGACCCAAAAGGUAAGCUUGUCAGGGACCCACGUGAAUGAGGAAGUGGGUGGGCCUGAGUCUGGGGCUCCUCUGAGAACUGCUGUGGACCAGGGAAAUCUUGCUGCCACCUCUGGUCUUUAGUCCACCUCUCAGUAGUAGCUUUCAAAGCUUGAUUUUUUUGGAGGCGUCUCCACGGAGCAUAGUCCUAAGCUCCUAGCCUACAUUGUCCCUGUUCCUGGGCCUGUUUGGUUGACAUUCUCUUACAGUUUAAAAAAGACAUCCACAUCCGUACUCUUAGCUAAUCCUUGUGACCUUUCUUCUAGUCUGUUUGGAGAGGCUGGGAGCAGAGUGGUUAAAAGAGCCAGGCCUGGUUCCAUUUCUGACCCCUCUUCUAGCUGAGCAACUUCCGCCUCUUCCAGCCUCCCUCACGGGAAUCACAGAUCACGUGAGAUGACACCCAUGAAGGGCUUGACUGGCAUCUGGCACAUGGUGAGGACUGCAAAAAUGUGGGCUAUUGUUUUUACUAUUAUCCCCAUUUUAUAGAUGAGGAAACUGAGGCUUGGAGAGGCUCUCUGCCUUUGUCAACCUGGAGAUGCUGGGAAGGAAGUGAGGCCCAUCCCACCUCAGAUGCCUGUCCUCUGUCGUCAGGAGCAUUCUCUUGUUCUUCCGGGCUUGGCCAAGCGGUGGUAAACCCCACAUGUGGUUCUGUGGUUGCCCACACAGUCCUAAAAAUAGCCAACAGGAACCCAGGGGCUCCCCCUUGGUGAGUGGCAGCAGGCCCAGUCCUCAGGCAGCCACCAACCUGCUCACUCCCCACAGGCAAGCAGGUCCUGUCUAGGAAGGGGCUGGGUGGCCUGGGUCCCAUGCAUGAUGAGCCAGAGGCUGUGCCAAGCUUAUAGCAAAUAUUAUUUUAUUUCAUUAUGUUUUCUUACAUCUGUGAUGUGGAGGCCAUAGCUCCACUGGACUCAUGAGGAGACUGAGGCUCAGAGCAAUGAAGUGACCUGCUCAAAGUUAAGGAGCUUCAGUUUGGACCCAAUUUGUUCUGAUCCUAAGGUCACUAUCCUUAAUCCCUCUCCCUGUGGGGUCUUCCCUAUCUUGAGCCUGUGGACAGCUGUGCAGUGGCAAGAAAAAGGCCUUCAGAGCUACGCAGACCUGGCUUCAAAUCCCAGCCUCCCUGAUGAGCCCUGGUGGUCUUGCAUGCUUGCCCUUGGGACUCAGACACCAUAUUGUGAGGAAGCCCAAGCUACAUGCAGAGGCCACUAUAGUUGUUCUGGCCAACAGCCCAAGCUUCAGCUGCCAGACAUAUAAAUAAACCAACUCUUCAAAUGAUUUCAGUUUCCAGACUUCAGUGCAUCCCAGGAGCUGUAACGCUCACUGCGAAGAUCUGCAGCUUCACUCCUGAGCCCAGCGAGACCGUGAACCCACCGGGAGGAACGAACAACUCCAGACCCGCUGCCUUAAGAGCUGUAACACUCACUGCGAAGGUCUGCAGCUUCACUCCUGAGCCAGCGAGACCACGAACCCACCCGAAGGAAGAAACUCCGAACACAUCUGAACAUCAGAAGGGAUAGACUCCAGAUGCGCCACCUUAAGAGCUGUAACACUCACCGCGAGGGUCCGCAGCUUCAUUCUUGAAGUCAAUGAGACCAAGAACCCACCAAUUCCGGACACAAAAUGACACAGUCCCUGCCCACAUGGAGCUGACAUUCUCAUGGAGAGAAAGGGACAAAUAAACAAAUGUACAAUACUCCAAGUAGUCAUAGUGCUGUGAAGAAAAUAAAGUGAUACAAGGGAACUAUGAGAACCUUGGGAAUGGGGGCGCUGUUUUAAACAGGCCCAUUUGGAAGUUUCUCUUUCCUUUGAGCCAAGUCCUGAAGGAAAUGAGAGAGGGAUAUGGGGGGAAGAAUGUUCCAGGCAGAGAGAUCAGCCAGUGCAAAGGCCCUGAGGCAGGAGUGUGCCCCAAGGGGUGUAGGAACAGUGUGGAGCUGGUAGGGCUGUGGCAGAGUGAGGGUGAGAGAGAAAGGAAGGGGGUGAUGGGCCUGGGGGGCAGACCAUGCUGAGCAGCGGCUUUUAAUUUUUAUUGAUUACAUCUUCCAUAAGAAAUCAGUUUUAUAUGGCAAUCCAAGACAGAUAUCCACAUAUAAACAUACAACUGAGAUAAACUAUAUGUGUGCACUCUGAUAUAUUUUAUUUUAUUUUAUUCUGUUUCAUUAAAAAAUAACAUGAGUA